rnacentral:antisense_RNA from 2 species
UGGCGCUUGAGGCUUUUUGCCUCAUGACGUGAAGGUGGUUUGUUGCCGUUGUUGUGUGGCAGAAAGCAGAAAGCCCCGUAGUUAAUUUUCAUUAACCCACGAGGCCACCUGUAUGCCUAGACAACAUCAGGAUAGCCUCUUAGAUGCCGCAAGGCAAGGAGAAGAAGGCCAUG